AUCUAUCUGUUGCGGACAAAUGAAAUGGAUAUGGGUGUCGAUGCCGCCGGCGGUAGCAAUUAAGCCGGCGCCGCCGUGUACUUCUGUGGAUGCCCCAAUGAUCAGAUUAGGGUCCACGCCAUCCAUCGUAUCAGGGUUGCCGGCUUUACCUAUUCCAACGAUCCGGCCGUCUUUAAUGCCGAUAUCUGCUUUUACAAUCCCCCAGUGAUCGAUGAUCAUAACGUUGGUGAUUACGAGGUCUGGUACCCCUUCAUCACGGGUUGCCCGGGCCGAUUGCGCCAUGCCGUCACGGAU
rnacentral:sRNA from 1 species